rnacentral:rRNA from 1 species
GGUAAACGAUAGCUAAUACCGCAUAACAAUGGAUGACACAUGUCAUUUAUUUGUAAAGGGGCAAUUGCUCCACUACAAGAUGGACCUGCGUUGUAUUAGCUAGUAGGUGAGGUAACGGCUCACCUAGGCGACGAUACAUAGCCGACCUGAGAGGGUGAUCGGCCACACUGGGACUGAGACACGGCCCAGACUCCUACGGGAGGCAGCAGUAGGGAAUCUUCGGCAAUGGGGGGAACCCUGACCGAGCAACGCCGCGUGAGUGAAGAAGGUUUUCGGAUCGUAAAGCUCUGUUGUUAAGGAAGAACGAGUGUGAGAAUGGAAAGUUCAUACUGUGACGGUACUUAACCAGAAAGGGACGGCUAACUACGUGCCAGCAGCCGCGGUAAUACGUAGGUCCCGAGCGUUGUCCGGAUUUAUUGGGCGUAAAGCGAGCGCAGGCGGUUAGAAAAGUCUGAAGUGAAAGGCAGUGGCUCAACCAUUGUAGGCUUUGGAAACUGUUUAACUUGAGUGCAGAAGGGGAGAGUGGAAUUCCAUGUGUAGCGGUGAA